rnacentral:rRNA from 1 species
AUUGAACGCCGGCGGCAUGCUUUACACAUGCAAGUCGAACGGUAACAGGCCGCAAGGUGCUGACGAGUGGCGCACGGGUGCGUAAUGCAUCGGAACGUGCCCAGUCGUGGGGGAUAACUACUCGAAAGAGUAGCUAAUACCGCAUACGAUCUAUGGAUGAAAGCGGGGGACCGUAAGGCCUCGCGCGAUUGGAGCGGCCGAUUUCAGAGUAGGUAGUUGGUGGGGUAAAGGCUCACCAAGCCAACGAUCUGUAGCUGGUCUGAGAGGACGACCAGCCACACUGGGACUGAGACACGGCCCAGACUCCUACGGGAGGCAGCAGUGGGGAAUUUUGGGCAAUGGGCGCAAGCCUGAUCCAGCAAUGCCGCGUGCAGGAAGAAGGCCUUCGGGUUGUAAACUGCUUUUGUACGGAACGAAACGGCUCUGGUUAAUACCCGGGGCUAAUGACGGUACCGUAAGAAUAAGCACCGGCUAACUACGUG